rnacentral:rRNA from 1 species
UACGUAGGGGGCAAGCGUUAUCCGGAUUUACUGGGUGUAAAGGGAGCGUAGACGGCAAUGCAAGUCUGAAGUGAAAGGACGGGGCUUAACCCUGUGACUGCUUUGGAAACUGUGUAGCUUGAGUGCCGGAGAGGCAAGCGGAAUUCCUAGUGUAGCGGUGAAAUGCGUAGAUAUUAGGAGGAACACCAGUGGCGAAGGCGGCUUGCUGGACGAUAACUGACGCUGAGGCGCGAAAGCGUGGGGAGCAAACAGG